rnacentral:rRNA from 1 species
UACGUAGGGUGCGAGCGUUGUCCGGAAUUAUUGGGCGUAAAGAGCUCGUAGGCGGCCUGUCGCGUCGGUUGUGAAGGCCCGGGGCUUAACCCCGGGUCUGCAGUCGAUACGGGCAGGCUAGAGUUCGGUAGGGGAGAUCGGAAUUCCUGGUGUAGCGGUGAAAUGCGCAGAUAUCAGGAGGAACACCGGUGGCGAAGGCGGAUCUCUGGGCCGGUACUGACGCUGAGACGCGAAAGCGUGGGGAGCGAACAGG